CUCUAAGGAGACUGCCGGUGACAAACCGGAGGAAGGCGGGGAUGACGUCAAGUCAUCAUGGCCCUUACGAGUAGGGCUACACACGUGCUACAAUGGGGCGUACAGAGGGUUGCAAAGCCGCGAGGUGGAGCUAAUCUCACAAAGCGUCUCGUAGUCCGGAUUGGAGUCUGCAACUCGACUCCAUGAAGUCGGAAUCGCUAGUAAUCGUGAAUCAGAACGUCACGGUGAAUACGUUCCCGGGCCUU
rnacentral:rRNA from 1 species